GUGCUCGCUUCGGCAGCACAUAUACUAAAAUUGGAACGAUACAGAGAAGAUUAGCAUGGCCCAAGGGAAAAAAAAAAUCUGGAGCCCGUUAGAGAACCCUGUGUAUU